CAGCUUUUGGUUUUCUUGCUUUCUUUACUAUGUCUUUAUUUCCUAAUGUGCUUUUUAUUGUUUUCUUCUGUUUUAUGUUUUUUCUUUCUCUAAUCUCCAGAGUUAAACACCCAGAUCAUUAAUUUUGUCAUGUUUUACAAUUCUUACUUCUGAAGCCGUAAGUUUCCUUCUAGACACCAUUUUAGGUACAUUCCUACCUGAAUCUUCAAACAGUUAAUAAGAGUAGGCAGGGUGGCAGAGCGCUUGCCUAGCAUGUGUGAGGCACUGGGUUUGAUCCUCAGCACCACAUAAAAAUAAACAUAUAAAAUAAAGGCAUGCUGUCCAGCCACAACUACAAAAGUAUUUUUAAAAAAGAGGUAACAGAAAUAAAAGCAUUACCGCUGAUAAUGUUAGUAGAUAAAUUACUUAGGUGCCUAUUGGCUUGUAAUUGUUGAACCCCAGAUUUAAGUAGCCCUGCCUAACUAGUCAUAGUGAAACACACUAACGCCAUAUUCCUGCUGGGCCCUGUGAAACCUCUAUCAAGGAGGGAAAAAGUGUAGAGGCCCAAGAAAAGUGAGAACGAGGCUAAAUUAUUCCCAGAUUCACCAAGGUAAGUGACUUCUCCCACAUUUCCCCUCUCAUAGGCUUAUCUAGGUCACCAAGGUAUUCAGUUUGUUUCCAUCAUUGCCCCUUGCAUCCCACGUCUUCCUUUUUGGGUUCAGUUUUCUUGCAUUUUUUUUAAAUAAAGCUCUCUAAAUCAACUAUAUUUUUUGUCUGAAAGUAUUAUCAAGCUAACUUUUGAAUAAUAAUUAGCUGAAUGCAGUUUUUGUCACAUUUUUCUUAUCUGUUAAAUUUUAGCCAAUCUGACCAAUUUCUAAUAUACCUGCAUCUUUCUCUGUGAUAUUGAUCCAUUUUUACAUGUUUAAAAUCUUCUAUACUGUUUUAAGUUUCAGCUUAAUGUAGCAUGAAGCUCCCAUGAUUGUCUUAAUUUUAGUUCGUUUCCUUCCUUCACUAGCACUUUGUACCUUGUUCUUUUGGUGCUUUUCACAUUCUGUUCACUGUUCUCUGUGACAUCCACUUACUAGAUUAUAACUUUACUACUAGGUUUUAUUAGAAUAUAGACUGUACUCUUUCGUAUGCUUCAUACUAGUUAAGGCCUUGAAUUCAUGGAUGCACAAUAAAUAGUUAUUGUUGUAUAAGUAGGAACUUCACCCUAUAACCAACUUACAUGGAAGACUAAAAGCUUCCGUUUGAAAGACCUGAAAUGGGAUU
rnacentral:lncRNA from 1 species